UAGUAAAUUUAUUGUAAGUCGCUCUGGAUAAGAGCGUCUGCUAAAUGACUUAAA
rfam:Salmo salar isolate Sally breed double haploid chromosome ssa18, whole genome shotgun sequence.